UCUCGCCGUCAGAUUUCCUCUUUUCCCACCUUCUGCACUGCGCCGUUCCCUCGUCUCUUGCGAUUCAGCAAGCCCUUCUGCGACGCUGUUUCUUCGUCUUCUCCAAGCUCUCGCAGUAUCUUCUGAAACUCGAACCUGCAGGGAGGACAAGAUUCCAAGAGCUUUUGGGGGAAAUGUCUCUGCUCGCACAAAUAAUGUAAAUACUGAGAUGCAAGAGCAGAGGGUAAAAAGUGCGGCUACUGUAACUGAUCUCAUGCCUCCCCCCGCAGAAAUUUUGGUGGUUGAUAGGUUACAUAGUAAAAAUGGAUCGAUAAAAAGGAUAAAAUCACCUAUCACUGCUACUCCUUAUACUGUUGCCUCUCUCUCCAAUCAGCAACUAAUAGCUUCAGUCAAGAAUUUCUUAUUGGUGAAGGAUCUCUUGGUCGUGUUUACAGAGCAGAGUUCCCUAAUGGAAAGGUAAAUUUGUUUAUUGUUGUUUUCUUCCCUUUCUUUAAAAUAGAUUUUAUGCAUGUAUAAAGUGACGGCUGAAUUAGAUACUGUAACAAAGAUGUACAUUAUAAGCUGUUGAUGGUGCUGCCAUCAUUAUAGCUUCUGUGGUGGGAACUGAACUGCUGGGAUCCCGAGCUAGUUCUCUCCAUACACGACACAAAUGCAGACACAAAUAUUGAUGGAUGUAUCUUUAUUUUCUUUUUCCUUGCCGUGUGGAUUGUAACUAAUCUUAAUAGACACAUUUUUCAAAUUAUGGCCACCUUUUGCCGAUUUAGCUAGUGAGAUAUGUAAUCUCAGCUGAAGUAAAAAGCUAAAAUUAGGAUAAAAUUUAGUUUGUUACCUGCAAUAUAGACUUUGGUCUUUGAUAGUAUUAGAUGGGGUUAUCUCCACCAUCUGCUUCUUGCCUUA